rnacentral:misc_RNA from 1 species
CGGAAAACAAACUGUUCCUUUUUUCAGGAAGAGAGAACAGGCGCUAGUUCUAAUAUUCACUUCUAUUUGUCAUCAGAUAUAAUCCACAUUUUGGGGAAUAGACGUUUUUGAUUAUUUGGAAUGAUCCUACCAUGUAUGAACAAAAAUCAAAUAGAUGGCUGAUCAAGUAAGAUUCGACAAAUUCUCUCUUCCCUGUUUAAAAUAUUGGUUGUAGAAUUGCAUAAAUUGUCAGCCAUGAUGACGUUGCAGCCACCGAAGAGAUAAUCCCCGGGCUUCAUGGCAAAUCUACACAAUAUGGAUCAGCUUGCCCGAGCAAUAGGAAGCUGCCUCCCUGUGCAAGAACAAAAAGGGGAAAAACAAUUGCACGCUCCCUACGCAGGCAUUAUCCUGUUCAGGUUCAAAGGGACUUUCUCAGCCUGACCUGCUCUUUCUUCUGACCAAAUGGCCAGUUUUAAAGCAGAAAACAGGCACCCCUCUAUCUGGAAAGCAAAAAGGCAUAUC